rnacentral:lncRNA from 10 species
ACAACUUCUUAAAAGUACUGAAUAAUGACUUCAGAUUCUACUGCAAGUUCCUAUUCUAACCAACUGAAAUCACAAAAUACGAUGUUUUCAAUUUGGCUGAGAUACCAUGAUGCUCCUGUACCCCUAGAACCUCCUGAACCCCCAGAACCUCCUGAACCCCAGAAAACCUCCUGAACCCCAGAAAACGUCCUGAACCCCCAGAACCUCCUGUACCCCAGGACCUCCUGUACCCCAGAACCUCCUGAACCCCAGAACCUUCUGUACCCCCAGAACCUCCU